rnacentral:rRNA from 1 species
CAUUCAUGAUGAACGGGGGCGCGGCGUUUACAGCAACGGGUGCGUAACGCGUAAGCAACCUGCCCGCAACUGGGGGAUAGCCCGGCGAAAGCUGGGGUAAACCCGCACGGUCCAGUGGUCUCACCUGGGGUUACUGGUAAACAUUUAUGGGUUGCGGAGGGGCUUGCGUCUGAUUAGCUAGUUGGCGGGGUAAGGGCCCACCAAGGCGAUGAUCAGUAGGGGUUCUGAGAGGAUUGGCCCCCACAUGGGUACUGAGAUACGGACCCAACUCCUACGGGAGGCAGCAGUAGGGAAUAUUGGGCAAUGGGCGAGAGCCUGACCCAGCCAUGCCGCGUGCCGGAUGAAGGCGCUCAGCGUUGUAAACGGCUUUUGACUGGGAAGAACGGCAGGUUUGCGAACUUGUGUGACGGUACCAGCAGAAUAAGCACCGGCUAACUCCGUGCCAGCAGCCGCGGUAAU